CCUACGGGAGGCCGCAGUGAGGAAUAUUGGUCACUGGUCGGGAGACUGAACCAGCCAAGCCGCGUGAGGGAGGAAGGUACAGAGUAUCGUAAACCUCUUUUGCCAGGGAACAAAGGCGGGGACGUGUCCCCGGCUGAGUGUACCUGAAGAAAAAGCAUCGGCUAACUCCGUGCCAGCAGCCGCGGUAAUACGGAGGAUGCGAGCGUUAUCCGGAUUUAUUGGGUUUAAAGGGUGCGCAGGCGGUGUGUUAAGUCAGCGGGCAAAGCCCGGGGCUCAACCCCGGCCCGCCGUUGAAACUGGCAGUCUCGAGUUGGAGAGAAGUAUGCGGAAUGCGCGGUGUAGCGGUGAAAUGCAUAG
rnacentral:rRNA from 1 species